rnacentral:rRNA from 1 species
GCUAGUUUGGGGGAGUAAUAGCCUAUCAAGGCUUCGAUCAGUAGCUGGUCUGAGAGGACGACCAGCCACACUGGAACUGAGACACGGUCCAGACUCCUACGGGAGGCAGCAGUGGGGAAUUUUGGACAAUGGGCGCAAGCCUGAUCCAGCCAUUCCGCGUGAGUGAAGAAGGCCUUCGGGUUGUAAAGCUCUUUCGCAAGGGAAGAAAACUUACUUUCUAAUAAAGAGUGAGGCUGACGGUACCUUGAUAAGAAGCACCGGCUAACUACGUGCCAGCAGCCGCGGUAAUACGUAGGGUGCGAGCGUUAAUCGGAAUUACUGGGCGUAAAGCGUGCGCAGGCGGUUUGGCAAGUCAGAUGUGAAAUCCCCGAGCUCAACUUGGGAACUGCGUUUGAAACUGCCAGACUAGAAUAUGUCAGAGGGGGGUAGAAUUCCACGUGUAGCAGUGAAAUGCGUAGAGAUGUGGAGGAAUACCAAUGGCGAAGGCAGCCCCCUGGGAUAAUAUUGACGCUCAUGCACGAAAG